rnacentral:lncRNA from 1 species
CUUCAUUCCCAUAAAGGCUUUGCCACCCUCCUGAAGCAAAUGGCCACCAUGGGCCCAACCCAACCUCUUGAGGUUCCCCACUAGCCACCCCAGAGAACUCAGAUCCUUGAAGCCCCACAUCUCUGCAUAUCUCAAUGGCAACAAUCCCCUUCAGUGACAUCAGGCCAUUAAGGAACACAACGGAGCUAUGCCCUGCACGACCAAGCUUGAUCUGACACCAUGGACCUCACAUACACCUCAGCUGCAGGUGCAACAGAAGUGCUUCUAACCUGCAGGAAUGUCAAUGUGGAUGCCAUGUGUGAGUUCGGUGCUACGGACAAGGUGCAAAGUGCAGCAGCUUCAGAGACCCAGGGGACACAACACAACCCACCAAAUGGAUGGCCAAAGCCCCACGAGAGUUGGAUGGUCUCAGCACUGCUUCGUCCAUUCUUCCCUCCUGCUUUCCUUCCCCCCCUUUAUCAACUCCAUCCUAAUCUGACCUCAGUGAAGGGAUCCAAGACCCUCAAACAAGAGGAGACACAGACUGCCUUCAUCUCUCCCCGAACCCAUCCAGCUCAAGUUGCACUCUGACUUCAAGGAAUGGCAACCCAAGGGAUUUGGGGCAGCCCCAUCCCCUCGGUGUAUGUCUGCUGCCCCCAGCUCCCGAUGUGGGGAGCGGGCAGGGUCUGGGCUCCCUACCUGCGAGCUGCAAAGGACAGCAGGGGGCUGGCUGCCCUGUAAGCAAUAUUAAAGCCUCUUCAAAACAUUCAGC